AGGUCACAAGAUUGCGCCAACCCUUACAUGGUCCUUAAAAAAAAAACCUUCUGACACUGCAGUAGUGAAAAUGAAGCGCACGAUGGGCGGAAGCUGUGAGUCCGGCAAAGUUUUAAAAUGAUGACGUAUUUUAUUAACUCUAACGGCACUGGCGGGUGACUGAAAAUACUAGUGCUGUGUAUGCGGGAUAGACAUUAUUUUCCUGCCCUACAUGAGGGGCUCGUGCGCGGAACGACAUGGGCAGCCCCGGCGGAAACUGCAGGCACAAGCCGGGACGCCGCGGGUUUAAAACAUGCGCGUGAGAGGAAGACAAACAUAAAGAUGAAGUGCUUAAUUCAAGGUCACACAAUGUCGGGGAUGGACCUCCAGAUUUCCUUACUGACCUGCAUUAUCUUGUGGAUACCUGAGUGAAUUCCACACCACCCAUUUUAUAGAUGAAACCACUGAGACAUGGAGCAAUUGACUGAGUAGUCACUGCCCCACCCCUGCCUGGAGCCUCACACAUGACUCGCCUCCUCUCAGUGACCACAGGUGAGACGUGGUCUUGUAACACAGUGGUUAAGAAUGUGACUUUGGAGCCAGCCUGCUAGGGGCUGAAUUCUGACUCAGCCAUUUACUAACUGUGUGACCUUAGGUAAGUCAUUUACCUUCUUUGUCCCUCAGUUUCAUCUCGGUUAAGUAGGGAUAAUGAUAGCACCUAUUUUAUAGGGUUAUUGUGAGGAAUAAAUCCAAGUAAAAUGCUUAGAAUAGUAACUGAAACAUAGCACUCAUUAGGAAUGCUUUAAUUUUCAUUUAUUUGAGUAUUAAAGGUUGAAUUUUCAGAGGUAUUUUGGACCUUUGUAUUUUUUCUUUAAAUCACUUAUUCAUGACUUUUGAACUUUUUUUUUUCUUUUAGAGACAGGGUCUUGGUUUGUUGUCUAGGCUGGAAUGCAGUGGUGCAAUCAUAGCUCACUGUAGCCUUGAACUCUUGGGCUCAAGAGAUCCUCCUGCCUCAGCCUCGUGAGUAGCUGGGCCUACAGGCGCCUGCUACCACACCUGGCUAAUUUUUUAUUUUUUGUAGAGAUGGGUUCUUGCAGCCCAGACUGGUCUUGAGCUUUGGCCUGAAGUGCUCCUCCUGCCUUGGCCUCUCAAAGCAUUGGGGUUACAGGUGUGAAGCACUGCACCUUGCCUACACAUUUUUUCCAAUAAUUUUUUUUAUUAAUUUGUAAGAGUUAACAUGUCGACUAUCAUAUAUAACAUAGAAUUGUUCCCAUUUUGUCAUUUCCUUUCAACUUUGUCUAUGUAGCUUUUUUUCUGUGUGCAAAUUUUACAUUUUUAGGUAGUCAGAAAAUCUCUUCCCUUGUAAUUUUUUCUGCUACUAGACCAAUGUUUAGAAAAAAGCGUGCUUCCCCACCUCAAAAUUAUAAAAAUAGUUACUUGUUCUUUUUGAGUACUGUGUGUGUUUAAAUCUUUAAUCUUUAAAUUUAAAUCUUUGAUCCAUCUGGUAUUUAUUUUGAUAUGAAGAGAGUGGUUGGGAUCUGGCUGUAUUUCUUUUUUCUUUUUUUUUCUUUUUUCUUUUUUUGACGAAGUCUCACUGUUGCUCAGGCUGGAGUGCAAUGGCAUGAUCUCGGCUCAUCACAACCUCUGCUUCCUGGGUUCAAGCGAUUCUCCUGCCUCAGCCUCCCGAGUACCUGGGACUACAGGCACUCGCCACCAUGCCCGGCUGAUUUUUGUAUUUUUAAUAGAGAUGGUUUCACUAUGUUGGCCAGGCUGGUCUCGAACUCCUGACCUUGUGAUCUGCCCACCUCAGCCUCGAAAAGUGCUGGGAUUACAGGCGUGAGCCACUGCGCCCAGCCUUGUAUUUUUUUUCAGUUUGGGUAGCUGUCCCUAAUUCAUUUGUUAAAGGAGAAGCAAGAGCAAGAACCUUUAAUCUGUUCUCCUCUUCCCUAAUUUGAAAGUAGCUUGUUAUUUUGAAUAUCACUUUCUCUGAAAUAGCACAUCUCCAUCUCAGAGAAUGGAUUUAAUGUUUGGAUACAGCCAAAAGUCAUUUCAUUACCAAACCAUGGGGUGAAUAUACCAUGUAAAGCAGUUUGGGAUCAGAACUCACAGUCUGAAUUGUAAGUGAUGAGACUGCUGUCUCUCUGCUACAGCUUCUUGGCUGGCUCUGAAGGCUCUUUGAAGGCAGAUCCUAACAAGGGGACUGCUUUGAAGGGCCAUUGUUCAUUUGGAAUGAUAAAGUCUAUGUUGUUCAAAAAACAAAUGCUUGUAGCAGGUAUUUUUUCACUCCAGACUGAGAAUAUUGGUGGGAUAUUGAUAAGGGGUACUGAAUGGUAAUAAACAUGUGCUCUAGCUCUGUGCUAGUCAGCUUAUUUCAGAACUCUAGUUUGAUUCAGUUUCUUGCCUCUGACUCAAAAUGGAGGGAGAGUGAUUUUUACAUAAGAGAACACACCCACAUAUCCUUUUGGCAGCAGCUACCUGCCAGAGAUGUUGAAGAAGAGUAGCCAACCUUUACACAGCAGAUAUUGUGUGCCAGUCAUAGUCCUAAGUAUAAUACCUUACAUGUAUAAACUUCUUAUAAGGUUGGUGCUCUGUACCGAAUUGAAUAGUAUCCCCCAAAAUUCAUGUUGUCCCAGAACCUAUGAAAGUGAUCUUACUUGAGGGAGGGGGGAGGGGGGAGGGAUAGCAUUAGGAGAUAUACCUAAUGCUAAAUGACGAGUUAAUGGGUGUAGCACACCAGCAUGGCACAUGUAUACAUAUGUAACUAACCUGCACAUUGUGCACAUGUACCCUAAAACUUAAAGUAUAAUAAUAAUAAAAUAAAAAAAAAAAAGAAAGUGAUCUUACUUGGAAAUAAGGUCUUUGCACAUAUGAUCAAGUUGAGAUGAAGUUGUACUGGAAAGUCUGUCUAGUGACUGGUGUUGUCAUAAGAAGAGAGGGACACAGAGGGAAGAUGGCCACAUGAAGAUGGAGGCAGAGAUUGCAGUUAUGCUGCUGCAAACUAAGGAAUGGCUCUGGCCCUCCAAGGAUUGCUGAUAACCACCAGAAACUAGAAGAGACAAGGAAGGAUUCUUCCCUAGAGCCUUCAGAGGGAGCAUGGCCCUACUGACACCUGGAUUUCAAACUUGUAGCUUCCUAAACUGCAAGAGAAUAAAUUUCUGUUGUUUUAAGCCA
rnacentral:lncRNA from 1 species